rnacentral:sRNA from 1 species
GUGUGUGUGUGUGUGAGUAUGAGUGUAGGCUAUGACACUGGAAAGGGGAUCAUGGUGGGGGGGAAAGGUGUUGAGGCUGGGGGAAGGGUAACAGAAUAGGUGACCUAAAGGCAGAAAGGAGGCUAUGGGGGAGGGGGAGGGAUAAAGGGAAACAUGAGGAAGAAAAGAGGGGAGGAGAACCAUCAAAAGCAAACUUUGAAACUAUCAUAAUGAAACCUAAUAGUUUGUAUAAUAAUUCAAAUACAUUAAUUAAAAGACACAUUCAGAAGAGGUGGCUUCUCUCACCACUCGAGGCAAAGAAGUCCCUGGGGCUUCUUUUAAAGGUGCCUGUGUGCCUGCGUGUGUGUGUGUGUGUGUGUGUGUGUGUGUGUGUGUGUGUGUGUGUGUGUGUGUGUGCAUGCGCAUGUGUGUAGAGGUGUAGGUAUGAAUACUUGAGUGUAGGUGUCUUCAGGGGUCAGGGGGAGACCCUGGAUCCUCUGGAGCUGGGGUUACAGAUGGUUCUAAGAUACCAAGUGAGGAUGCUGGAAGAACAGGCAACUCUUAAUUGCUGAGACAUCUAUUUGGUCCCUCUAGGACUGUUUAUAAACCAAAUUUGCCCUUUGCCAAUUUUCUACAAGGAAGAAGCGAUUAUUCUCUGACAUUGCGCUCCUAUUAUUAAAGGCAGGGCAUCCACGGCAGUAGAAGAAUCCUCCUACCAUAAGCACUGAAGCUGCUUAGGCCCAGCCAGCACAGAUGGACCCAACAACAAGCCAGUCUCUGAGGAGGAGAGCCAGUCAAACGGACAGUUCAGGCCAGCAGAGUCCAAGACAAAACAGGCCAUAGAACCCAAAGGCCGAGAGAAACCGGACAGCAGGAAGGUGGUCUGGGGGUGGGAGUGAGAAGCUCGCAGCUGUGUUAGUCUGAACUAGGAACUUCUCUGGAGUAAAGUACCCAGCAUCCAGCGAGGCAGGAGGACAUGAAAGGGUCACUAAGAGGUAGCAGGACUACAGAUGGGGUAGCACUGUGCUGAAUUUCCAAAACGAGAGCACAGAAGUGGCCCAGGUCUGACCUUAAGGAAAAGAGCACCACCUGGAUUGGGAAUGUGGGGCAAGCAGCCCCAGAAAGACUGGGUCACCUCAGAAACAAAAACAGCAUUGACUGAAGUGAAUGGCAACAGCCAUGACCCAGGCAGGCCCAGUCCAUGCUGGGCUGGCCUGAGGUAAGCAGGUGUGGCUGGGAGGCAGGAGCCCACACCCUGCACCCCAAGGAUGAAUGCCCCCACUGUUCUGCACAGGCUGCUGGGGACUUUCCAGCAACACAUUUGAAUGACCGAGUCCCAGAAGGAGUUCAGAAGUCUUUCUUCAUUCUGCUUUCUGUUUCUUAUUCCUUAAGAACUGAAAUAAGAUAAAAAGACGGGAAAAACUGUGAGGACGUGGGGAGAAAGGAGCUCCUCAUGGUUGAGCACGGUUGAAGCCUCUCAUGCCCAAAUCAAGAAUUCCAAAGCAAUUCCUGUACUGCAAAGGGUGCUAACAUGGAGACUUCUGUCACAUACAGUUAUUUUAUAACAGGGGAUGAGGCUGAGGCCUGAAUGUGUAUGACCUCAGAUACAGUCUCAUCUCCUCCAGUGACUAGGACACUUGUAGUCUCAUAAGCUUUCUUUACAAAAUUAAACAACAAGGAGGAUUUGGCCACAAGCUGUAAGUUGCUGACUUCUUUUCAUCAAAAGAAUCCCGGGUAGUUGCUGAAUCCCUAAUGACCAGAGAAUGGGCUACAGUGACCGAAGAAGGCAGAAAUCAGAACGUUUUAGAAGUUUCAGUUCUGUGAAAGGAAUGUUGGUGUCAUCAUGUUUCUAAGUAAUCGAACCUGUUAUAAACAACUGAGAGUGGCCAUGUUCCAAUAAAACUUUAUUUAUACCAAUAAGCAGCAGUGCGAAUUUGGCCCAUAGGCCAAACCUUGCUCAACACCGUCCUAAGAUCUAUAAGCUCGAUUGUAAUGAGCCAGGAGUCAUUUAAAAAUCAACUAUUCAAAUUCGUCAAGCAGCGAAGCUCUGUUUACAGCACACCAAGAUGCGCUGACUCUUCCUAUGGGAAUGGGAGGGGAGGCUUGUCACUUUCCUAUACUCUGACACAGAUCCUGAACACGUAGGACCAACUGUUCAUCCAUCCUCUCAGGGCCAUUGUCUCCACAGUACACCAAACACGGUCUGUAUCUGCAGCAGACAAAAAAGAGUGUGCAAGCAGAUGGCCCACACAGCCCAGCUAAGCCGUACAAUAUGCCAAAGUUUCAGUAUCUUACCUAAGACAUGUAGCUCAGGCUGGCCUCCCAGAUUCCCGUGUAGCCAAAAGUGACUCUGAACUCCUGAUCUUCCUGCCUCCACCCACCGGAGCUGCCUACCUGACACUGUCACCAGCGGUGGCAAAACCAAGGAGAGGUGGGGGUCACCAUGAUGUCUCUCCAGACUCUCAGGACUAGCACUAGAUCACACCGUAGCUAACACCACCCUGCCACCACUUAGUGGCUAGUGUGUAAAAUCCUAAGCCAAAGGAACAGUGAGGUUGCCAAACUCAAGACUCAAAAACAAACAUACCAGUCAUCUACUUUAGAAUGCAUUUGUUAUCGUCAUAUUUGUCGUAACUAGGGGGAGGCUACUGGCAUCUCCUGUUAAAAGCUCAUACUAUGUGUGCUAAGGGUCUUUAAGGGUCAAAUUGACACAGUCUAUAAUGGCCUGAAAUAAGAUUCGAUCAAAUAAUAUUUUCUUCUCUCUCUCUCUCUCUCUCUCUCUCUCUCUCUCUCUCUCUCUCUCCCCCACCCUCUCCCUCUCCCUCUCUCCCUCUCUAUUCCUAGCAGUCUCAAGCUGUAUAAUCAAGUUACUUAAGCUCGAGUCUAUGAGGGAGGCGGGCAUCAAGUCAGGGAGUGACCGAGCAAGCAGUGUUCUUUCAUGGUUCCUUCCUCCAGGCUCCUGCCUCCACUCCCCUCAAUGAUGGAUUAGACUCUAAUCUGGAACUGUAAGUCAAAUAAAUUCUUCCCUUCCCUAAGUUGCCUUUGGUCAGACUACAACUUAUGACCAAAACAGCAAAGAAGAAAGUUAAAACACUGUGUAAAUAAGAUUGUACUGAAGUGGAUUUCUCUAACCUAAAACAUCAACAGGACCAAGCAACCCUGUCUCAGGAGACCUCACCACAGGACGGUCCCAACACCUCAAGUGUAUACACUCUAGUAAGUUCUAGAAACUCAGCUCCAAAGACCACUUUUAUUGGCCUGUCAACAUGGUGGGAGAAAAUCAUGUCAGACUUGCUGAUGGCUCCUUUUCACUGUUUGCUGACAUGAGGGGAAAGGUAAUAAUUACUUUGCUAAUUCCCCAAAAGGGAAGAACUGGAAUAAAUAACUCCUCUAGGC